rnacentral:rRNA from 1 species
GACGAACGCUGGCGGCGUGCUUAACACAUGCAAGUCGAACGGAAAGGCCCUGCUUUUGUGGGGUGCUCGAGUGGCGAACGGGUGAGUAACACGUGAGUAACCUGCCCUUGACUUUGGGAUAACUUCAGGAAACUGGGGCUAAUACCGGAUAGGAGCUCCUGCUGCAUGGUGGGGGUUGGAAAGUUUCGGCGGUUGGGGAUGGACUCGCGGCUUAUCAGCUUGUUGGUGGGGUAGUGGCUUACCAAGGCUUUGACGGGUAGCCGGCCUGAGAGGGUGACCGGCCACAUAGGGACUGAGAUACGGCCCAGACUCCUACGGGAGGAAGCAGUGGGGAAUAUUGCACAAUGGGCGGAAGCCUGAUGCAGCAACGCCGCGUGCGGGAUGACGGCCUUCGGGUUGUAAACCGCUUUCGCCUGUGACGAAGCGUGAGUGACGGUAAUGGGGAAAGAAGCACCGGCUAACUACGU